rnacentral:rRNA from 1 species
UGAAUACGAGAUGCUACGGCGUCGAAGCAGUCUAUGUCAUACUUCCAAGAAAAGCUUGCACUGUCAUAAACAAAUAAUGCCUGUACCAUAACCGACACAGGUGGGUAGGUAGAGUAUACUAAGGGGCGCGAGAUAACUCUCUCUAAGGAACUCGGCAAAAUGACUCCGUAACUUCGGGAGAAGGAGUGCCUUAUUUAUAAGGUUGCAAUAACAAGAUCCAAGCAACUGUUUACCAAAAACACAGGUCUCCGCUAAGUCGUAAGACGAUGUAUGGGGGCUGACGCCUGCCCAGUGCCAGAAGGUUAAAGAAGUUGGUUAGCAUCCGCGAAGCUGAUAACUGAAGCCCUGGUGAACGGCGGCCGUAACGAUAACGGUCCUAAGGUAGCGAAAUUCCUUGUCGGGUAAGUUCCGACCCGCACGAAAGGCGUAAUGAUUUGGAUACUGUCUCGGAGAGGGGCUCGGUGAAAUAGACUUGUCUGUGAAGAUGCGGACUACCUGCACCAGGACAGAAAGACCCUAUGAAGCUUUACUGUAACCUGAAAUUGAAAUUGGACUUUACUUGCGCAGUAUAGGUGGGAGGCGUUGAGAAUAUUCUUGCGGGAUUAUUGGAGCCAUCAGUGAGAUACCACUCUUGUAAUGUUAGAUUUCUAACUUUGUAUCAUUAUCUGGUCAAAGAACAGUUUCAGGCGGGCAGUUUGACUGGGGCGGUCGCCUCCUAAACGGUAACGGAGGCGCACAAAGGUUUCCUCUGAACGGGUAGAAAUCGUAUCUAGAGUGUAAAGGCAUAAGGAAGCUUGACUGUGAGACCUACAAGUCGAGCAGGGACGAAAGUCGGUCUUAGUGAUCUGACGGUGCUGAGUGGAAAGGCCGUCACUCAACGGAUAAAAGUUACUCUAGGAUAACAGGCUGAUCUCCCCCAAGAGUUCACAUCGACGGGGAGGUUUGGCACCUCGAUGUCGGCUCAUCGCAUCCUGGGGCGGUAGUACGUCCCAAGGGUUGGGCUGUUCGCCCAUGAAAGCGGUACGCGAGCUGGGUUCAGAACGUCGUGAGACAGUUCGGUCCAUAUCCGGUGUAGGCGUUAGAAUAUUGAGAGGAGCCUUCUUUAGUACGAGAGGACCGAGAAGGACAUACCUCUGGUGUUCCAGUUAUCGUGCCAACGGUAAACGCUGGGUAGCUAUGUGUGGAGUGGAUAACCGCUGAAAGCAUCUAAGUGGGAAGCCCACCUCAAGAUAAGUAUUCUCAUG